GAUGAACGCUAGCGGCAGGCUUAACACAUGCAAGUCGAGGGCAGCGGGAGGUAGCAAUAUCUUGCCGGCGACCGGCGCAAGGGUGCGUAACGCGUGAGCAACAUGCCCGUCACAGGAGGAUAAACCAUGGAAACGUGGCCUAAUACCCCAUAGUAUAUUAAUAAGGCAUCUUAUUACUAUUAAAGCUACGGUGGUGACGGAUUGGCUCGCGUGACAUUAGCUAGAUGGAGAGGUAACGGCUCACCAUGGCGACGAUGUCUAGGGGAACUGAGAGGUUUAUCCCCCACACUGGUACUGAGACACGGACCAGACUCCUACGGGAGGCAGCAGUGAGGAAUAUUGGACAAUGGAUGGAAAUCUGAUCCAGCCAUGCCGCGUGCAGGAUGACGGCCCUAUGGGUCUUAAAACUUCUUUUUGAAAGGGGAGCAAUAAGCGCCACGUGUGGCGUGAUGAGAGUACCUUACGAAUAAGCAUCGG
rnacentral:rRNA from 1 species